rnacentral:tRNA from 1 species
CGGGCGAAUAGUUGGUAGAGCACGUCCUUGGUAAGGACGAGGUCACCGGUUCAAACCCGGUCAUGGGCUCGG